rnacentral:lncRNA from 1 species
GCCUGUAACCACAGCACUCUGGGAGGCUGAGGCAGGAGGAUCACCAGUUUGGGUCCCACUGGCCCUAAGUGUCUGACUCAGGGAAGACCUUGUGCCUCUCACCCUGGACUCAGAUUCUGACAAUCGUGCUUAUUUUUCUCUAUUUUUGGAAUCGUAGUACCAGUUGAGCACCACUGAGAGGCGGUGGAGACCUCAAGGGGUGGAACCAUCAGGUCUAGGCCGCUGGGGGACUGCAGGAUCAGCUCUUUCUCCCUUUCUGGCUGUGCUGCUGCCAUAAUGUGCGCCUUGACGAAGCCUAACAGCAACAGCCUCAACCUGUCAUGGACCGAGACUUCCUUCCAGACAGGUGGGCCGAGCGCCUCUCCUCUGCAUAAGUCUGUUAUCCUAGGGCUUGGUUAGCAGGGCCGGGAGCUAGCGCGCAGACCAAAGCAACGGAAGCAGAGAGGGACGUCACGGAGGUUUCCAAAGUUUUGUUCAUUUCCGUUUAACUCACUUUCUUGUCUGUGUCACGAUCUUCCUGAAAAAUGCGCCUUGGGGACGAGGAGUCCUUUGUGACUCUCACCAGCCAGAUUUUCGGGGGAUUCGCCCGCAGACGAGAGGCCGGGGAGCGCAACACGAACCUUAGCGUUUCCCAAAGAUGUUACUUCAAGGCUGCUCGUGAGAGGCACUUGCUCCUUAACAACUGCGGAGGGCGGACGCGGCGGUGCUGCGCUGGGACAGGCGAGUCAGCCAGCGGAGGGCUCGCUCCGGGCUCCGGGCUCCUGGCGCUACGGUCGCUCCCUGACCUGAGACGCAGCCGAGAACUGAGCGAGACAAGCCAAAAAUGGGCCAAAGUUUAACUGGAAGCGGGGAUGAGGGAGAAACUGGCCCUGCACAGCGAACGUGGGCCGAACAAGAGCAGAAAAGAGAAAAACAAAAGUGCAGCCUGACCCGGGAGACACGGUAGGAGCGACCGUGAGGAGCCUUGACAGCAGAGUCUCCGCUGUGUAUAGUUUCUUUAUAGGGUCCACAUCUCGCGAGAACCCACGAGAAGACCACGUGAGGUCCCGAGAGGCCCUGCUGUGUUGAUCCUGGAAUCCCGCCAUGCUUCUCUUCCCACCUCGCCCAAGCCACGCCCUAUGUCCUACCUCAGUGGUGCUAACCGAGCUGCUUAUCCCACUGACUCAGGAUGAAGUGUGUUUUCACCCAAAGCUUUCAUUCCCCAUUUGAGUCUUGAUAAAACAUGAUUGUCUACCAAGCUCUCGCUGGGAAUCCUACUGACAUCUAAAGCAAGCACAUUACAGGGCCUCACUAAGUCUCUGAAUUGCCCAGGCUGGGUUUGAACUUCUGAUCCUCCUGCGUCAGCUUUCUAGAACCUCAAGAUUACAGUUGCUGGCUGUUUCUUAUUUGUUCAAGUUGCAAUCUGCAGGACCGAAGGUCAUCAGUCCAGCUGCCUCCUUUGGGUCCUUCCUGUCUGAACUCCACUGGUGCCAGUAUUUUCAACAUCCUCACUGAAAAACACUUGGGAAAGGGCAGUCGGAAGCUUAGGUUAUGACUCAGGAAGGGGCCAAGAGACUGUGCAUUUGCUUCACGGAUGGGGACACUAAGACGUAUGCAUUUCCGGUUGCUGUUGGGAGAAAUUGAAGCAGGACUUAAAGAAAAACAAGCCCAUUCCAGCCGUGGACAGUUCCCCCUGCCCCACCACUCCCCUCCCCUGGAGCUGCAACUCCUUGUUCUGGUACAGAUAAAAUUGACUACUAUGUCCUGUAAACAAACUUUACAGUUCUCAUAUGAUUCAUAAGACACUAUCUUUCAAGACAAAGUUAGAAAACUGUCUGCCCUUGUCGCGUUCUGGUAAACUCACUUGCUACGUCGCUAGAAAAACCACCUCCUUCGACAAAAUGUGUACAAGCUGGAACUUCUCUUUGUUCAACGCUCUUCCUUUGGACAGGAGUCUGUUGAGCUGGUAUACACUUUAAACCUGAAAUAAAGUCCUCCUAUGUCA